AUUUCGCUUAUGUUUUACUUUGGGUUUUAGUGUUGUGUUUAUCAAACAAAAUGUUACCACGGAUGACGAAAGAAUGACGAUGAUCGUGGCCCUCUGCAUUAUUUAUUGGACUCUUGUUGCUUUGGUCUCGACUGAACAAGAACCACAAUGUCCAGAAAUAGCUUUAGGUAACGGGAUAGUUACUUACUUUGGAGGGAGAGAAAUAUACACCUUUGCAUUUUUCACAUGCAACGAGGGUUUUGAACUAGGUUCUGUAACAUAUACAGAAUGUGAACUGAAUCAGAAAUAGGUCGAAAUACCGAGAUGUAUAAGUACGUAUGUUUUUAUUCGAUUUUGUGUUUUAACUAACGGUCAAGUGUAUAUUUUAUAGAACAGUGUACCUUCAACGCACAGUCUGAUGUGUUCUCCUGAAAUGUAAAUUACUUAAUGAAAGAAAACAACUACAAAGGCGA